rnacentral:tRNA from 1 species
GAGCUGGUGGCGCGGGCGCGCGCCGUGCUGCGGCGCGGCCGCGACGCCGACCCCGCCGCCGCCGAAGCGCUGCGCUUCGCCGGCUUCC